GAAACUCCUCACCUUACUUUCAGAAGCCUCCAAACCGAGUUCAUAUCUUGUUUCUCCUCAGGCUUCUGACACGUCGACUCAGGGUCAAUUAGUCAAAAGCUGGGGGAAGGAAUUUGCCUCCACAAUAUGUCUGCAGCUGAGGUGCUCACAUCUGACAGCAAUGAAACCCGCGCUCAUGCCUCUGCCUGUCUGCUGCCCCGUCAUGUGUGACCGACCAUACUUGGGCGAGCUAGCAGCUGGUCAUGCUCUGCUGGCCCGGAGUCACAUGAGAGACAUUCCCUUUCGGUGUACUUCAAAUUGACUAACAUGUCCGCCAUGGCAGCAAUACUAUCUCCCUGCCCCAGGACUCAGGCUUCUCUUGUUUCGGAAGACAGCGAGUGAAAACAACUGGUAAUGGUGUUGCGAAAUAUGGGAUGUGCAAACCCCUUCAAUGCCUCCAUGCUGCUCUUCCCCCCCUCCACUCCACCAUCCAUCCCCUUGUAUUGGCAGACUGGGAAGCAGAUGAUCAUCCUUUGAACCCAUUACUCAGCCUGAUCCUCUUAUCAUAACCAACCUUCCUGAGUCUCUAAUUUGGGGUCUGCCAAACUCCGCUCUGUGCACAAUGUGGCUUUCGUUUCUCUCCCGUUGAGCCCUUCUUCUUCUCCUUCUUCUUCUUCUUCUUUUUUCUACCUCAUCAAUAUGUGUGUGAGGGAAGUGAGUCAAAGGAGAGCGAACAGGGAUCCUCUGCACACAUUUGCGCACCUAUCUCAGGGGAUAUUCCUGCACUCUGAAAUAAGACAAGCAUGUGGGUGGGUCAGUAUUCUGGGAACACAAAGGCUUCAUCUUCAGCUACCUGCUACUCACACCUUUCCAAGGAAUCGCUCAUUUUCCCUCCCUGGCUCUGUGUCCUGCAAAUAUCACAUUCCCCUAUGGCUUAUAGCACAUGUUCGGUGCAUUCCUCUGUGGGGGAUGUGGUCAAUUAAAUGGGCUCGCAAUCCCACCCAGGGUAGGGAAUACACCACAAUGUCUUAUUGUUUUAAAUGGAAGUAUAUCAAACGUUGGGAGUGAAACAAUGGGAGAAAAAAAUCCUUCCACGCCGUGUGUCAGGGGUAUACACGAUGUAAACAAAUAAAUGUCUUCAUUUGCAUCAGAA